CCUAGUAAUAUUGUGAAAUAUUAUUACAAUUUGAAAAGACUUAGAGUGAAGACUGAAUUUCCUCAUCUGACUUUCUGUUUUCAUUUGUAGGGUACAUACACGGCAAGCUCAGGGGUGGAGGAUCUGCAGCACUGCGGCCCAUGUGAUGCUGGUCAGUACUGCCGCUCUCCUGGACUGACUGCUCCUCAGGGACCCUGUGAGCCUGGUUUUUACUGCACCGGUGGAUCUCAUGUUGCCUCUCCGGUAACAGCAUACUGUUCAUCACCCAUGUUGAUCAGUGGGUUUUAAUCCAAAAAAUCAAAGAUCCAUUUAUUCAUUUAUUCAUCCAUUUUUUUUUUUUACAGAUUAGCUCCAGAUAUGGUGACAUAUGCCCCAUGGGUUAUUACUGUCCAGCAGGCACCAGGCACCCUCAUGAGUACCCCUGUCCUCCUGGAACCUGGAGUAAUGCACUGGGGGCCCAAAAUGUGUCAUCGUGCUGGCUCUGCCCUGCUGGAUUCUUCUGCAACACCUCUGGCCUCACUCAGCCCACUGGAAUAUGUGCUCCAGGUACAAAAUGACAUAAUCUCAAAUUCCUCCAGAUUGACUUUUGUUUUUAAAAUUGACCAGAGUUCUUCUCCAUUCUGUCAUAUAGGGUUUUAUUGUGCGGGAGGCGCUAAAACGGCUAUGCCUGAUGAUGGGGUUACAGGAAACAGGUGUCCGACGCGGUAUUACUGUCCACAGGGGUGUACUUCCCCUCUGCACUGCCCUGAUGGAACACACUCAAAUAGCACAGGUGCUGCAGAAUGCAGUGACUGUCCCACUGGAUGGUUGUGUCUGGAGGGGGAGGAGCUCCAGUUGUGUCCAGAGGGACAUUACUGCCUGGGGGGCACAGUGGAGGACAUACUCCCCUGCCCUCCAGGCACAUACAGCCCCAAAGCAGGACAAAACCAAGUAGAGCAGUGUUUACUGUGCUCAGCUGGUGAGAGCAGUGCCCCUGCUUUACUUACACCUUUGGCAGUUUUAAUAGCAUUGGUGUAGUUUUAUGUUCAUCAUACCCACCUAUCAUUUUAAGGAAUGUUCUGUGAGGAUUGGGGACUGGUUGAACCUACUGGUCCCUGCCAGGCUGGGUAUUUUUGCCUUGCAGGUAUGUCUGGUUACAUCGACAUUAGGCUUUGUCUUCAUUCUGUUGAACUGGAUUGUGGCGUCUAAGCAUACGUGGUUCAUGUGACUUUUGCAGGCAUAAACUUCAAGAAUCCUGAUGCGAAUAUUAGCACAGGGGUGGGUGGGCCAUGUCCUGUAGGUUAUUACUGUCCUGAGGGCACCAGCCUUCCUUUACCCUGCCCGCUUGGCACUUUUUCAAACAGGUACUUCACUUCACAGGGUUAAAUGAUCCUACCAAACCAAGAUGAGUAAAUGAAACGAUUAACAGAUUUCUUUUUAUCUUUAUAGUCUGUAUGUCACUGAGAACACAGGAUGCUCUUUGUGUCCUGCUGGGCUGUUCUGCGGUUCAGUGGGCUUGAGUAGACCCUCUGGACUCUGCCAAGAGGGGUUCUACUGUCCUGCCGGGGCAUCGUCAUCCACAGGUGGGACCAUCCAACUAUGUUUGUUAACUUGAUAGCAUCAUUGGCUGAUUGUCUGUUUGUAUUCCACUAUUGACUGUGGUGUUAUGGUUUAUACAGGUUCUGAUUCUGAAGGUGGUCUCUGUCCUCAAGCGCACUUCUGCCCCGCUGGCAGUGCAGUGCCUGUUCCCUGCCCUGCGGGCACCUAUACCAACCUGACAGGACAGAUUAAGUGUAGUCCCUGCCAUGCUGGUUACUAUUGCCCAGAGAGUACCAGCAAAUACACUAUGUACCCCUGUCCUCCUGGAUUCUACUGCCCUGAUGGUAAGAUGCAGAAUGAAAUGUGAAUGGAAAAAAGUAGUGCAUACAAUGCAAGAAAAUAACAUUCUAAUG
ensembl:lncRNA